UGAGACAUCCAGCUUUGUGGACUGAACAA
rnacentral:piRNA from 1 species